GAUGAACGCUGGCGGCGUGCCUAAUACAUGCAAGUCGAGCGAACGGACGAGAAGCUUUCUUCUCUGAUGUUAGCGGCGGACGGGUGAGUAACACGUGGAUAACCUCCCUAUAAGACUGGGAUAACUUCGGGAAACCGUAGCUAAUACCGGAUAAUAUUUUGAACCGCAUGGUUCACAAGUGAAAGACGGUCUUGCUUUUACUUAUAGAUGGAUCCGCGCUUCAUUAGCUAGUUGGUAAGGUAACGGCUUACCAAGGCAACGAUGCAUAGCCGACCUGAGAGGGUGAUCGGCCACACUGGAACUGAGCCACGGUCCGGACGACUACGAGAGGCAGCAGUAGGGAAUCAUCCGCGACAGGCGAAAGCCUGACGGAGCAACACCGCGUGAGUGAUGAAGGUAUUCGCAUCGUGAAACUCUGUUAUUGGGGAAGAUCAUAUCUGUAAGUGACUGUGCACAUCUUGACGGUACCUAAUCAGAAAGCGACGGCUAACUACGUG
rnacentral:rRNA from 1 species